GAUGAACGCUGGCGAGAUGCUUUACACAUGCAAGUCGUACGAGAGUUUCAAACUCAAGUGGCGGACGGGUGAGUAACACGUAAGAAUUUGCCUUUAGGAGGGGGAUAACAGAGGGAAACAGCUGCUAAUACCCCAUAUGCUUUCGAGUGAAAUGGAUUUUUCCGCCUAGAGAGAAGCUUGCGGCUGAUUAGCUUGUUGGUUAGGUAAUGGCUUACCAAGGCGACGAUCAGUAUCUGGUUUGAGAGGACGAUCAGACACACUGGAACUGAGACACGGUCCAGACUCCUACGGGAGGCAGCAGUGGGGAAUUUUCCGCAAUGGGCGAAAGCCUGACGGAGCAAUCUCGCGUGAGGGAUGACUGCCUAUGGGUUGUAAACCUCUUUUUUCAGGGAGGAAUCAAUGACGUGUACCUGAAGAAUAAGCAUCGGCUAACUCCGUG
rnacentral:rRNA from 1 species